rnacentral:rRNA from 1 species
GGCUUGUUGAUAAUAAUAUCAGGUCUGACCUGCCCAAUGAUGUAUUAAAUGGCCGCAGUAUCUUGACUGUGCAAAGGUAGCAUAAUCACUAGUUUUUUAAUUGAAAGCUGGAAUGAAAGGUUUAAUGAGGAAAUAUCUGUCUCUGAAAAAUUUUAUUAGAAUUUUAUUUUUAAGUCAAAAAGCUUAGAUUAAUAUAGAAGACGAGAAGACCCUAUAGAGUUUUAUAUUUAAAAAGAAGUGGGUUUUUUGGAAAUUGAGGGUUUAGGUCUUUGAAAGUAUUUUGUUGGGGUGAUGAAAAAAUUUAAUUAACUUUUUUUAUAACUAUACACUGAUUUGUGGAUAUAUGAUCCUUGGGUUUAGAUUAGAAGAUUAAAUUACCUUAGGGAUAACAGCGUAAUUUUUUUAAGAGUUCUUAUCGGAAGAAAAGAUUGCGACCUCGAUGUUGGAUUAAAAUUAAUUUCUGGUGUAGAAGCUAGAUAAUUAGGUCUGUUCGACCUUUAAAAUUUUACAUGAUCUGAGUUUAAACCGGCGUGAG